rnacentral:rRNA from 1 species
AAGACCUUGCGCUUUUGGAGCGGCCGAUGUCUGAUUAGCUUGUUGGUAAGGUAAAAGCUUACCAAGGCUUCGAUCAGUAGCUGGUCUGAGAGGACGGCCAGCCACACUGGGACUGAGACACGGCCCAGACUCCUACGGGAGGCAGCAGUGGGGAAUUUUGGACAAUGGGGGCAACCCUGAUCCAGCCAUGCCGCGUGAGUGAAGAAGGCCUUCGGGUUGUAAAGCUCUUUCAGCCGGAACGAAAUGGUUACGGUUAAUACCCGUGACUACUGACGGUACCGGAAGAAGAAGCACCGGCUAACUACGUGCCAGCAGCCGCGGUAAUACGUAGGGUGCAAGCGUUAAUCGGAAUUACUGGGCGUAAAGCGUGCGCAGGUGGUUUUGUAAGUCAGAUGUGAAAUCCCCGGGCUUAACCUGGGAAUU